UCUAGUUUGAUCCUGGCUCAGUGCGGCUGGAUAGCUUGCUCUUAUGAAGAUCGCGGCGGACGGGUGAGUUACACGUGGGUAACCUGCCCUUAAGACUGGGAUAACUCCGGGAAACCGGGGCUAAUACCGGAUAACAUUUUGAACCGCAUGGUUCGAAAUUGAAAGGCGGCUUCGGCUGUCACUUAUGGAUGGACCCGCGUCGCAUUAGCUAGUUGGAGAGGUAACGGCUCACCAAGGCAACGAUGCGUAGCCGACCUGAGAGGGUGAUCGGCCACACUGGGACUGAGACACGGCCCAGACUCCUACGGGAGCCAGCAGUAGGGAAACUUCCGCAAUGGACGAAAGUCUGACGGAGCAACGCCGCGUGAGUGAUGAAGGCUUUCGGGUCGUAAAACUCUGUUGUUAGGGAAGAACAAGUGCUAGUUGAAUAAGCUGGCACCUUGACGGUACCUAACCAGAA
rnacentral:rRNA from 1 species